GCUCCUGUAGCUCAGUCGGUAGAGCGCAUCCAUGGUAAGGAUGAGGGCGUCGGUUCAAAUCCGAUCGGGAGCUCCA
rnacentral:tRNA from 1 species